rnacentral:rRNA from 1 species
GGACUACUGGGGUAUCUAAUCCUGUUUGCUCCCCUAGCUUUCGUUCCUCAGCGUCAGUAGUGAUCCAGCUCGCCGCUUUCGCCACGGGUGUUCCUGCAGAUAUCUACGCAUUUCGCCGCUACACCUGCAAUUCCACGAGCCUCUCUCACACUCAAGCACAGCAGUUUUGGAAGCAGUCUCUGGGCUGAGCCCAGGGAUUUCACACCCAACUUGCCACACCGCCUACGAACCCUUUACACCCAGUAAUUCCGAACAACGCUGGCCCCCUACGUCUUACCGCGGCGGCUGGCCAC